rnacentral:rRNA from 1 species
GACGAACGCUGGCGGCGUGCCUAAUACAUGCAAGUUGAGCGCUGAAGGUUGGUACUUGUACCAACUGGAUGAGCAGCGAACGGGUGAGUAACGCGUGGGGAAUCUGCCUUUGAGCGGGGGACAACAUUUGGAAACGAAUGCUAAUACCGCAUAAAAACUUUAAACACAAGUUUUAAGUUUGAAAGAUGCAAUUGCAUCACUCAAAGAUGAUCCCGCGUUGUAUUAGCUAGUUGGUGAGGUAAAGGCUCACCAAGGCGAUGAUACAUAGCCGACCUGAGAGGGUGAUCGGCCACAUUGGGACUGAGACACGGCCCAAACUCCUACGGGAGGCAGCAGUAGGGAAUCUUCGGCAAUGGACGAAAGGCUGACCGAGCAACGCCGCGUGAGUGAAGAAGGUUUUCGGAUCGUAAAACUCUGUUGGUAGAGAAGAACGUUGGUGAGAGUGGAAAGCUCAUCAAGUGACGGUAACUACCCAGAAAGGGACGGCUAACUACGUG